AGAACACACAUUAAUUAUCCCUAGGGCCAUGGGAUAAAAAAACGUGCAAAACCAAGUUAGCACACUUUAGAAUGGUUAUAGCACGAUUACUAACCUAUGACUUUGAUACCAGUUGCAGGGAAUGUUAG
rnacentral:pre_miRNA from 1 species